rnacentral:rRNA from 1 species
AACGCGAAGAACCUUACCUGCCCUUGACAUGCUAGGAAGUCUGCAGAGAUGCGGAUGUGCCUUCGGGAACCUAGACACAGGUGCUGCAUGGCUGUCGUCAGCUCGUGUCGUGAGAUGUUGGGUUAAGUCCCGUAACGAGCGCAACCCUUAUCCUUAGUUACCAGCGGGUCAUGCCGGGAACUCUAAGGAGACUGCCGGUGACAAACCGGAGGAAGGUGGGGAUGACGUCAAGUCCUCAUGGCCCUUAUGGGCAGGGCUACACACGUGUUACAAUGGCCGGUACAGAGGGUUGCCAACCCGCGAGGGGGAGCUAAUCCCGAAAAACCGGUCUCAGUCCGGAUUGAGGUCUGCAACUCGACCCCAUGAAGCUGGAAUCGCUAGUAAUCGCGGAUCAGAACGCCGCGGUGAAUACGUUCCCGGGCCUUGUACACACCGAGUAUA